rnacentral:rRNA from 1 species
AACGAACGCUGGCGGCGUGCCUAACACAUGCAAGUCGCGCGAGAAAGCGGGGGGCAACUCCGUGAGUAAAGCGGCGCACGGGUGAGUAAUACGUAGGUAACCUACCUCCGAGACCGGGAUAACCCUCCGAAAGGAAGGCUAAUACCGGAUGAGACCACGGAGCCUCGGCUCUGCGGUCAAAGGUGGCCUCUAUUUAUAAGCUACCACUCGAAGAUGGGCCUGCGCACCAUUAGCUAGUGGCGAGGUAACGGCUCACCAAGGCGAAGAUGGUUAGCUGAUCUGAGAGGAUGAUCAGCCACACUGGGACUGAGACACGGCCCAGACUCCUACGGGAGGCAGCAGUGGGGAAUC